UAGCAAGAGGACUGCUUCCACAGACAGCUUAGCCGGUGAAGAACUAAAUAGAACACCAAGCAGUCACCUCACGGGAGGAUUUAUUAGCAAGGAACUCUUUGUACAUCCACAAAUGCAAUGGGCAACGCAGGUGGAAGCAGUGCACGCCAGUCUCCAUUUAAUCAUUCAGGUACCUCUUACAACCCCUGCUGUCUGUUGGUCUCCACUCUCUAGUGCUAUUGAUUUCAAGACACCGAAGUUUUUCUGUGGAACUCAAGGAGUCUUUUUGUUGUUGUUGUUCAUUCGAAUUAAAAGUGCAUUUGGCAGAUACAAAGAGGACAUCUGGCUUUCCCUGGGAGGGGAGUAGCCCAUCCUGCUUGCUACAGUGGUGAAGAUAUGAUAACAUGACACAAAAGAAUUAAGGUCCCAAGUGAGGCCAUGGAAGCAUGCUGCAGUCUUCCUGGAGGAGUAGGAGUCACAGGAAGUCUGUAGCACUACUCCUAGUGCACACAAAUUCCUUGCUGCCAUAGUUUGGAAGCAGCAGGAAGAGGCUGGCGGCAGACAGGGCUUCCCGUUUGACAAGGGCCAGGCCAGCCAGCUGUGCAGCAAUCCCUCCCACUUCCCUCUGCGGAACCUGCGUGUGGCUCAAGGCUGCUGGCCCGGCUCUGUUUACACGUCUCCAAAUUCAAGGAGGAAAAGUGAAUAUCAAACAGACCUGCGCUCUUUUGAUGUGGCUGAAGGAUGCUAUCGGGUCUGGGGGGUGUUGUGCCUUUGAGGCUCAUUUGUCUUUCCCCAGCCCUUCUGUGCAGGCCUGUAACCAGCCAUUCGGAUCUUCAAAGCCGCCCUAACCCCAAUGGUGCAGCUUCUUCAGAUCUGGCACCGUGGCCAGGAAUAGGGUGCUCUGUGUGGAACCACUUUUCUUUACGGUUUUCAGACACAGAGCUUUUGUUAUUCCUUGAAAUACGUAAUUUCACUAAAAUUAGUUACUGUCCAACAGGAAGAAAAUAAAGGAUUUGUUUUGUUUCACGAGUAGGAGGGUCAGUCCCUCCCUGGUGAGCUUUCCUGUGCUCAACCAGCUGCAAUGAGUGGUGUUUUGAGAGCUUCCUUCAUACUUACCCGUUAGUAAGCAAUCUAAAGUCUUAACAUACAUCCCACUCCUCUCAGAUUUAGUACUUGGAUGAACCAAAAGCCGACUGUGGGGAUGUCUGCCAACACAAAUUGUUGUCAGCGUCUGCCCUCUGCGGGUAAAUGGUUUAAAUUACUGCUAGAAUGCGUCAAGCUGUGUUGAGAGGAGGCGCUGUUGGAAGCACCUGGGAUUGGUUGUGCUCUGCUUUAGGACCAUCUCAUGUUACCAAAUCUUUUUUAAGGUGAAAAAUCUUUCUCUUUGCAAGUGAAAGAAGUACUCUUCCUAAUUAAUAAAUAGUAAGGAGAAUCAAAUUUUGAAACUCCAAAUUCUUGAAGUAGUUACAGUUUUGAAUACUGACGUUAGGAGAAACAACUAUAAGUAUUUUCAAUUCAUUAAUGAGAGCUUUUUUGCAUCCUAGACCUCAUUCAUUGAGUCUGUUUAUAGCUUUUCUAGGAAUUGGACUAAAAGCAGCUCAGACAUUUACCAUAAAGUAGCAUUCUGGUUAUCCUGCUGGUCCUGAUUUAUUUAAAAC
rnacentral:lncRNA from 1 species